rnacentral:rRNA from 1 species
UACGUAGGCAGCAAGCGUUGUUCGGAGUUACUGGGCGUAAAGCGUACGCAGGCGGACCGUUAAGUCGGGUGUGAAAGCCCGGGGCUCAACCCCGGAACUGCAUUCGAUACUGGCGGUCUUGAAUACGGGAGAGGUGAGUGGAAUUCCUGGUGUAGAGGUGAAAUUCGUAGAUAUCAGGAGGAACACCGGUGGCGAAAGCGGCUCACUGGCCCGAUAUUGACGCUCAUGUACGAAAGCGUGGGGAGCAAACAGG